ensembl:lncRNA
CCCCUAUGAGCAAGCACUUUGGCGACAGUGGGAAGGAAAAACUCCCUUUUAACAGGAAGAAACCUCCGGCAGAACCAGGCUCAGGGAGGGGCGGCCAUCUGCUGCGACCGGUUUGCACGUCCUCUCCCAUUAAUACGGCAGGUGACCAUGAUGAGAGAGACAGACAGAGUCUGGCUGGCAGUUCUCGCUGCAGUCUACCGGUAGCGUCUUCUUUCAGGCCAGGAUAGACGAACGUCACCGAGCAGUGACUAAGUUUGUGGUCAAAGUCUUGCACCCAUUUGCCACAGCAGAUGCCCCCGAUUUUUGGUAUGUCGUGUAGUGAGCAUCAGCCAAAAUAGGGAAGCAACUUUAGCAACUCCUGAAUGUAAUAUCUUGCACAUGUAGCGCUGUCAAUUGUGCUGCUGUGGAGAAGGUAAGCAGCACCAAGUUCCUGGGUGUGCACAUCUCAGAAGAUCUCUCCUGGUCAAAACACACAGCAUCGCUGGUCAGUAAAGUCCAACAGCGACUCUACUUCCUCCACAAACUGAGGAGAGCACGAGCCUCAACCCCCACUAUGAGCACUGUUGAGAGUAUCCACACCAGCUGCAUCACUAUGUGGACAUCUACAGGUGACUGCACUCAUCCAUCCAAAAGCUUCUUCAGUUUGCUGAGGAAGGAGACUGAAGAGCCUCCAGGCCAGAACCAGCAGGCUGAGACAGCUUCGUCCAUCAGGCUGCUCUCACACACACACAAACUCCAGACCUGCAUUCACUUCUUCCCUCUGAACCCCCCAAACAUACAAAACUCUGAACCGCCUCCAUUGCCUUUUCACUGACUGCCCCACCCCACUCGCACACGAACUUGCACACAAUCACUAUGAUUGUGUUGGACACUGCUGUUUAUAUAAGAUUGUAUAGUAUUGUAUUGUGUUGUACAG